GUGCGAGCGCUGGCGGCGGUGACGGUUGCGCAGUGCCGCUACAUCCGGGCACUGGGGCAGGAUGAAUGCUCCUUUCCAAGAUGGCGGCGGAGGGAGGAGGGAAGGAGAUGAACGAGAUUAAGACUCAGUUCACCACCCGGGAGGGGCUGUACAAGCUGCUGACCCAUUCGGAGUACAGCCGACCUAACCGGGUGCCCUUCAAUUCACAGGGCUCCAACCCGGUCCGCGUUUCCUUCGUCAACGUCAACGACCAGAGCGGCAACGGGGACCGGCUCUGCUUCAAUGUGGGCCGGGAGCUCUACUUCUACAUUUACAAGGGGGUCCGCAAGGCUGCGGACUUGAGUAAACCAAUAGACAAAAGGAUAUACAAAGGAACACAACCUACAUGCCAUGACUUCAAUCACUUAACAGCCACAGCAGAAAGUGUCUCUCUUCUAGUGGGCUUCUCUGCAGGCCAGGUCCAACUUAUAGACCCUAUUAAAAAAGAAACUAGCAAAUUAUUUAAUGAGGAAAGACUAAUAGACAAGUCCAGAGUAACCUGUGUAAAAUGGGUACCAGGUUCGGAAAGCCUUUUCCUAGUAGCUCAUUCCAGUGGCAAUAUGUACUUGUAUAACGUGGAGCACACUUGUGGUACCACAGUCCCGCACUACCAGCUACUUAAACAAGGAGAAAGUUUUGCAGUACACACUUGCAAGAGUAAAUCUACAAGAAACCCUCUGCUUAAAUGGACAGUAGGUGAGGGUGCCCUGAAUGAAUUUGCCUUUUCCCCAGAUGGGAAGUUCUUGGCAUGUGUGAGCCAGGAUGGUUUUCUUCGUGUGUUUAACUUUGAUUCAGUGGAAUUGCAUGGUACAAUGAAAAGCUACUUUGGAGGACUGCUGUGCGUGUGUUGGAGUCCUGAUGGGAAAUACAUAGUGACAGGUGGAGAGGAUGACUUGGUAACAGUAUGGUCUUUUGUGGACUGUCGAGUAAUAGCGAGAGGCCACGGACAUAAGUCAUGGGUCAGUGUUGUUGCAUUUGAUCCAUAUACCACUAGUGUAGAAGAGAGUGACCCGAUGGAAUUUAGUGGAAGUGAUGAGGAUUUCCAAGACCUUCAUUUUGGCAGAGAUCGAGCAAAUAGUACUCAAUCUAGGCUAUCCAAAAGGAACUCUACAGACAGUCGUCCAGUAAGCGUUACGUAUAGAUUUGGUUCCGUAGGCCAGGACACACAGCUCUGUUUGUGGGAUCUUACAGAAGAUAUCCUCUUCCCCCACCAACCUCUCUCAAGAGCAAGGACACAUACAAAUGUCAUGAAUGCCACAAGUCCACCUGCUGGAAGUGGUGGAACUAACCCAGGAAGUAAUGGAAACAGUAUCACAACACCUGGAAACUCUGUACCCCCUCCUCUUCCACGGUCAAACAGCCUUCCACAUUCUGCAGUCUCAAAUGCUGGCAGUAAAAGCAGUGUCAUGGAUGGUGCCAUUGCUUCUGGCGUUAGUAAAUUUGCAACCUUAUCACUACAUGAUCGGAAGGAAAGACACCAUGAAAAAGAUCACAAGAGAAAUCAUAGCAUGGGACAUAUAUCUAGCAAGAGCAGUGACAAACUGAACCUAGUUACUAAAACCAAAACGGACCCAGCUAAAACUUUGGGAACACCUCUCUGUCCCCGAAUGGAAGAUGUUCCCUUGUUAGAGCCUCUUAUCUGUAAAAAGAUAGCACAUGAAAGACUGACUGUGUUAAUUUUUCUUGAAGACUGUAUAGUCACUGCUUGUCAGGAGGGAUUUAUUUGCACAUGGGCAAGGCCUGGUAAAGUGAGAUAAAGUAUGCAGUACCAAAAAUCAGGAUUUAUGUAUUGGCCAAUGUGGAAAACUUUAAUUACAGGGUUUAUUGUCAUCCCAAAACCAGGCCAAUUCUCCAAGUGGAACUGUAGUAUAGCCAUCACACUACUGCUAGCAAACCUCUGAACGCAGGACAAGAAGUAAUGACAGUGGAACCAGGAGCUGUUCUUCAGGCAAAGAGCAUCACAAAUUGUAAUGUGGCAGAGUGUAAACACGGAAUUAUGUGAAUCACAUAGUAAUUUGCAAAGGAAUAAUGUAAUGAGUUCUUAUUACAGCUAAUACUGCUAAUCUGUGCACCCAAGGAAGGGUUUUUGUGGCAGGGGGAAAGCUUCCUUUGGUGCUGCAGGAAAUAAUAGUAACAUUUUUGGUUUUCUUUAUACUUUUCAAGUACAGUGUAAUUUAAUCUCUCUAUAAAUAUAUAAAUAAAAGAUAUAUAUACAUAAUGUAAAAUAAAGUAUGUUUCUUAAAUUCAAGUAAGUUCAAUGGUUAAACUAGUACUUCACCAUUGUUUAUUUUGCACUGAUUUUUUUAACCAGAGAUGGCUAGAAGACAGCCUGGAAUGCACUCAUGGAAAAUGAAAGUCAUUACUUUCUGGCUUCAAAAUGUUAUUCAGGAAGAUGGAUGCUGCAAUCAUAGAUUUUUAAAACAAAAUUGUUUUGCACUUAAAUAGUUUAAUGCUAAUAGAAAAUUACUUUUAAAAUGGUGUCCAGACACCAGAAAAACUGCGUUGUGAAGAAAAGAUCCUUUGUAUCUAUUAAACAUUUAUUUUAAUAUUGUUGUUUCCAACUGCGAUUGGCUCUGUAUUAUAUGUAUAAAUAAUGUAAUGGAGUGAUGGGAAGGGGAGUAACGGAUCAUUACACUAGAACUUCUCAUUCAUUUAAGAAAGUGAUAUUUCUAAUUCAGAAAAUACAUAUUAAACUAUCUUGAAUAUGCA